UUAAAAGGUAACAAGCUCAAGAGAGAACACGAGAGAAGCUGAAAAAUGGCAAGGGUUUCCACUAAUCCUGUUUGAAUGCACUGACAUGAUGGCAUAUCCUAACACAAUCAGGCCAUGGGUUGGAAAAAAAUUAUGCAACUGUUCCCUUGAAGUCCUGCUGUGUUCAACAGUUGUAGUGCAGGUAGAGAGGCAACCCUGACCUUAUCUGAUGCUGUGAUGCAAGCCUUAUCAUGUACUAAAGCCAUAGGGAACAGAAGAGGUGCCUGAAGACUGGAGGAAAGAGUGUUGCUCCAGUCUUCAAAAAGGGCAAGAAAGGACCCAGGAAACUACUGGCCA